ACUGGGCAGGUUCCAAGCUCCUCGGGGCUUUGCACCUGCCUGAAAUCCUGGGGGAAGUUCCCAGCCCCUCCGCCCUCCUGGCAGCCCCCCUGGGGUGGGAGUGAACGGAGAUUAGCCCAGCGCCGAAGCCUAUCUGCAUUUGUGGACAGGGCAAUGUGGCGUUGAGACUUGAACCUGGGGAUGCUUGUCUAUCCGAAGUCCAACUCCGAAUAUGGCUUGGAUUUGUUCCAAGAGGGUGAAAGUCCCGUACGGAUAGAUUUAAUUGUCUUUAUAA
rnacentral:rRNA from 1 species